rnacentral:rRNA from 1 species
GAUGAACGCUGGCGGCGUGCUUAACACAUGCAAGUCGAACGAUGAAGCCCAGCUUGCUGGGUGGAUUAGUGGCGAACGGGUGAGUAACACGUGAGUAACCUGCCCUUAACUCUGGGAUAAGCCUGGGAAACUGGGUCUAAUACCGGAUAGGAGCGUCCACCGCAUGGUGGGUGUUGGAAAGAUUUAUCGGUUUUGGAUGGACUCGCGGCCUAUCAGCUUGUUGGUGAGGUAAUGGCUCACCAAGGCGACGACGGGUAGCCGGCCUGAGAGGGUGACCGGCCACACUGGGACUGAGACACGGCCCAGACUCCUACGGGAGGCAGCAGUGGGGAAUAUUGCACAAUGGGCGCAAGCCUGAUGCAGCGACGCCGCGUGAGGGAUGACGGCCUUCGGGUUGUAAACCUCUUUCAGUAGGGAAGAAGCGGAAGUGACGGUACCUGCAGAAGAAGCACCGGCUAACUACGUG